GCACCCGUAGCUCAACUGGAUAGAGUGUCGGCCUCCGAAGCCGAAGGUUGACGGUUCGACCCCGUCCGGGUGCA
rnacentral:tRNA from 1 species